rnacentral:misc_RNA from 1 species
UAUCAUUUAUUCACUUCUCUGUUAUUUGUAGGGUGCUUCCUUCAUGCUUUAUGAAUAUGUAUGUUUCAAUAGGAAUGAAGUUGUAUGCUUUGUGUCUCUCCCUAGCUACCUAAAGUCUCUCUUAAAUAAUAAAUAAUAAUUUAGGACCUAGGAAUUGGCUCUCAGAUAUUUUUAGAGGGUAAUUAUUGGUCUGUUCAUUGAGCCCAGGUGAGCAAACAACUUUAAACCUAUUCAAUUCAAACGCUAUCUGUAUUCCACAAGCUUAGGCUUCUCUUUCCUUUGGACAGUCACUUCAAGGGUAACUAAAGGAGCAAAGUUAGGCUUUUUGACUUUCGGCAGUGUUAUCAGAUCUGGCUCGGAUUUUGAUAUGGCUGAGGGAUAGGGUUGGAUUCUGACGUUUGAGAUAUGCCCUACCACAGAAUAAGCAGAUGCACAUGAAGCUGAUUCGAAGACUUGAAUUAGAACCAGACCCUGCUAUAAGAGAGGCUGAUCUUCUGUCCCUCCUU